AUUGAACGCUGGCGGCAUGCCUUACACAUGCAAGUCGAACGGUAACAGGUCUUCGGAUGCUGACGAGUGGCGAACGGGUGAGUAAUACAUCGGAACGUGCCUAGUAGUGGGGGAUAACUACUCGAAAGAGUGGCUAAUACCGCAUGAGAUCUACGGAUGAAAGCAGGGGAUCGCAAGACCUUGUGCUACUAGAGCGGCCGAUGGCAGAUGAGGUAAUUGGUGGGAUAAAAGCUUACCAAGCCGACGAUCUGUAGCUGGUCUGAGAGGACGAUCAGCCACACUGGGACUGAGACACGGCCCAGACUCCUACGGGAGGCAGCAGUGGGGAAUUUUGGACAAUGGGCGCAAGCCUGAUCCAGCAAUGCCGCGUGCAGGAUGAAGGCCUUCGGGUUGUAAACUGCUUUUGUACGGAACGAAAAGCCCUGGGUUAAUACCCUGGGGUCAUGACGGUACCGUAAGAAUAAGCACCGGCUAACUACGUGCCAGCCGCCGCCGUAA
rnacentral:rRNA from 1 species